rnacentral:rRNA from 1 species
UACGUAGGGUGCGAGCGUUGUCCGGAAUUAUUGGGCGUAAAGGGCUCGUAGGCGGUUUGUCGCGUCGGGAGUGAAAUCCACUGGCUUAACUGGUGGCUUGCUUUCGAUACGGGCAGACUGGAGGUAUGCAGGGGAGAACGGAAUUCCUGGUGUAGCGGUGAAAUGCGCAGAUAUCAGGAGGAACACCGGUGGCGAAGGCGGCGUCCUGGCUCACAACUGACGCUCAUACACGACAGCAUGGGGAGCGAACGGG